rnacentral:rRNA from 1 species
UACGUAGGGUGCAAGCGUUGUCCGGAAUUAUUGGGCGUAAAGAGCUCGUAGGCGGCUUGUCGCGUCGUUCGUGAAAACCUGCAGCUCAACUGCAGGCUUGCGGUCGAUACGGGCAGGCUAGAGUUCGGUAGGGGAGACUGGAAUUCCUGGUGUAGCGGUGAAAUGCGCAGAUAUCAGGAGGAACACCGGUGGCGAAGGCGGGUCUCUGGGCCGAUACUGACGCUGAGGAGCGAGAGCGUGGGGAGCGAACAGG